UGGGGAAUAUUGGACAAUGGGCGCAAGCCUGAUCCAGCCAUGCCGCGUGAGUGAUGAAGGCCCUAGGGUUGUAAAGCUCUUUCACCGGUGAAGAUAAUGACGGUAACCGGAGAAGAAGCCCCGGCUAACUUCGUGCCAGCAGCCGCGGUAAUACGAAGGGGGCUAGCGUUGUUCGGAAUUACUGGGCGUAAAGCGCACGUAGGCGGGUAUUUAAGUCAGGGGUGAAAUCCCGGAGCUCAACUCCGGAACUGCCUUUGAUACUGGGUACCUAGAGUAUGGAAGAGGUAAGUGGAAUUCCGAGUGUAGAGGUGAAAUUCGUAGAUAUUCGGAGGAACACCAGUGGCGAAGGCGGCUUACUGGUCCAUAACUGACGCUGAGGUGCGAAAGCGUGGGGAGCAAACAG
rnacentral:rRNA from 1 species